rnacentral:rRNA from 1 species
ACGGAGGGUGCAAGCGUUAAUCGGAAUUACUGGGCGUAAAGCGCACGCAGGCGGUCUGUCAAGUCUGUUGUGAAAGCCCCGGGCUCAACCUGGGAAUGGCAAUGGAUACUGGCAAGCUAGAGUGCGGUAGAGGGUAGUGGAAUUCCCGGUGUAGCGGUGAAAUGCGUAGAGAUCGGGAGGAACACCAGUGGCGAAGGCGGCUACCUGGACCAGCACUGACACUGAGGCACGAAAGCGUGGGGAGCAAACAGGA